CUUUUGAUUAGUAAAGCUAUUUUGUAUAAGAGAAAAACGAAUAAUGUUAGUACGAUGAAGAUAUUCACUGAAAUUUUCGAUGGUCUCAGAGGAGCUAUUAAAACGUUUGUAGGAAAUGUUUUGCUGUGAAAGUAGAAAAAGAGUUCUGUUGGGAACAAACGAUAUUGGAUGCUGGAAGAAUGAAUGUAUGUUGGAGUCUGAUACCAGUUCUUGUGCUAUUUUUUAUCAAGGAAGGCAAAGGUUUGUCAACUGAUCUGGAUGACCUUAGGAAGGAUUUUGGGGCGUGGUUACUGAAGCGUUCCCCCGAGUAUUCAACCUUAAUAGGCGUAUACAAAUACAAUGACCGGGUGGAAGAUUUUUCAUACGCCAAGUUCCUGGAAGAA